rnacentral:rRNA from 1 species
CCUACGGGUGGCAGCAGUGAGGAAUAUUGGUCAAUGGACGAGAGUCUGAACCAGCCAAGUAGCGUGAAGGAUGACUGCCCUAUGGGUUGUAAACUUCUUUUAUAUGGGAAUAAAAUGUUCCACGUGUGGGAUUUUGUAUGUACCCUAUGAAUAAGGAUCGGCUAACUCCGUGCCAGCAGCCGCGGUAAUACGGAGGAUCCGAGCGUUAUCCGGAUUUAUUGGGUUUAAAGGGAGCGUAGGUGGAUUGUUAAGUCAGUUGUGAAAGUUUGCGGCUCAACCGUAAAAUUGCAGUUGAAACUGGCAGUCUUGAGUACAGUAGAGGUGGGCGGAAUUCGUGGUGUAGCGGUGAAAUGCUUAGAUAUCACGAAGAACUCCGAGUGCGAAGGCAGUUCACUGGACUGCAACUGACACUGAGGCUCGAAAGUGUGGGUAUCAAACAGGAUUAGAUACCCUAGUAGUC